rnacentral:rRNA from 1 species
AGAGUUUGAUCAUGGCUCAGGAUGAACGCUAGCUACAGGCUUAACACAUGCAAGUCGAGGGGCAGCAUGUUGGUUGCUUGCAACCAACGAUGGCGACCGGCGCACAGGUGAGUAACGCGUAUCCAACCUACCCUUGUCCAUCGGAUAACCCGUCGAAAGGCGGCCUAACACGAUAUGCGGUUCACGGCAGGCAUCUAAGGUGAACGAAAUGUGAAGGAGAAGGAUGGGGAUGCGUCUGAUUAGCUUGUUGGCGGGGUAACGCCACAAGGCUACGAUCAGUAGGGGUUCUGAGAGGAAGGUCCCCCCANAUUGGAACUGAGACACGGUCCAAACUCCACGGGAGCA